rnacentral:tRNA from 2 species
GCGGGGGUAGCCAAGAGGUAACGGCGCAGGGCUUAGGACCCUGUGGCGAAGGCCUUCGUGGGUUCGAAUUGGCGUAAGCCAUGAAAAUCCCACCCCCCGCA